CGAUAAGUAAUGUGAAUUGCAGAAUUCAGUGAAUCAUCGAAUCUUUGAACGCACAUUGCGCCCAUUAGUAUUCUAGUGGG
rnacentral:rRNA from 2 species